rnacentral:rRNA from 1 species
GACGAACGCUGGCGGCGUGCUUAACACAUGCAAGUCGAGCGGUAAGGCCCUUUCGGGGGUACACGAGCGGCGAACGGGUGAGUAACACGUGGGUGACCUGCCCUCAGCUCUGGGAUAAGCCUGGGAAACCGGGUCUAAUACUGGAUAUGACUCCAUGACGCAUGUUGUGGGGUGGAAAGCCUUGUGCGGCUGAGGAUGGGCCCGCGGCCUAUCAGCUUGUUGGUGGGGUGANGGCCUACCAAGGCGACGACGGGUAGCCGGCCUGAGAGGGCGACCGGCCACACUGGGACUGAGACACGGCCCAGACUCCUACGGGAGGCAGCAGUGGGAAUCUUGCGCAAUGGGCAAAGCCUGACGCAGCGACGCCGCGUGAGGGAUGACGGCCUGGU